GGGCCUGUAGCUCAAUGGUUAGGGCACCAGCCUCAUGCACCAGGGCUUGUGGGUUUGAACCCAGGCCAGGCCUG
rnacentral:tRNA from 1 species